GGCCUGUGCUGGACUCGUUUUUGUCUACCUGAGUCAUUUGAGCAGGGCAUUCUCGCUGGCUUAGCUUUGUUGUGGCUAGAAUUUGGAACCGGUCCCCUGGCUCCGUCCCCACGGUCUCUGCUUCUGAAGCACAGCGUGGGUUUGUAGGGUCAUGGACUGGGGCUCACGGCAACCAAGGAUAGACUGUUCCUUCUCUGGGCCACAGGCUUCCCCAGGAAGGAGCCUUUGGCCAAGUGUCUUUUGUGUCUCCAGAGCCAAGUGUAGCCGCUGGCAACUAGCAGGUUCUCGCAAAUAAAUGACAGAGUACAGGGACACAUUCUGGGAAACACGGGGGGGGGGGCGCUCUUUGGGGUGGCAGCAUGUUCAGUAGCACAGCACUGUGUUGCCUUCUUCAGUUUGUGGGGCGCUAAGGAUAAUUUGCGUUUCCUGGCAUAAGGUGUCUGCUGCCGAUUGCACAGGAGAAAGUGCUAUGGUGUGUGUGGGGGAUCAGGCUGUCUGAGGCCGACUGAGGGCUCCAGAAAAACAGUGAAGUGGAGGCAUUCAUCCUAGGGGAGGCUGCAGAAUACUCGAUGCGCGGGAGGAGGGGGGGAAACACGUUCUGAGUCUCCGAGGAAAGAAAAGACCACCUUGGGAAACAAGGGCUGCAGAUGGCAGGGGUCUCGGGAUUCUCAGUUCAGGUUUCAACUCCCACACGUUCCCCUGCCUUUCCACUAGGGGGCAGACAGAGGCUGGAGAACAUACCGGCCAGGAGGCCAGUCCCUCACCCGCAGAACCAGUCUCACAUCAACACACUAGGCUGUUUGUGCUCUGCAGAAGGCAAAUCUAGGCCUCUCUUCCGGCCGGCCACAGCAUCAGUGAUAUUGCAUGGUUUGCCUGUGACAUCAGACACUGCACAAAUAUGAUAACCAAAUUGCACGGUUUGGAGCGAAUGGGUUAGUAAACAGAAAAAAAAAAAGGAAGGAAGAAAAAAAGAAGAGGAUUUUUUUGUUGCCGUUGUUUGACACGUGGGGUUGGGGGGAACCAUGCCUCCUGCAUCCUUCAUUAUCCUGUGCUUUAGAAAGUCAUUUCCUCCUAAGACAUCCCAGGCAAUGGGGCCCCUUAAUUGGCUUAAUUUUUAUUCUUAAUCCUCAAGGGUCGUGGAAAAACAGCACAGCCCUUCCUGUUCCUAUUAUCCCCUCGUAAAUUAUUGGGCGCAUAGACUUAGCUCUAAAGCAAACUGCACUGAGCCUAGAGGAAGAAGGAACAUUUUUCCAGGCCAGAUCGCAGAGACGGAGAUCACCACAGACAUGAGUCACUCCUAUAAAACCAGAGGAUUUAAAAGCGGCUCUCCUGCUUGCUGAGGGUGUCGGCUCGGGAAUCUUUGCUCCGUGCUUGCUAACAUUAAUAGAAAUGCCUGUCAAAACACUACUCGUCCAUAUCACGUUUCCAGCUCUGCCUAGCCGCCGCUGCCCAUCUCGGAUGGUCAAGCACCUUUUGUCACUGGAAAUGACACAGAGGGGAUGGAUGCCCAGUGGACUUCAGACUAGUCAAAGGAAUCACUAGGGCUGACGUCAUCAUCAUCAUCAUCAUCAUCAUCAUCAUCUACUAGGCUGGCCUCAGACUUGCUAUAGCUACAGCCACAGCUCCUUGCUGGGCCUCCCCCACAGUGACUUGACCACAGGGCCACCCCUGGAGUCCUCCACGAACCACCCCUUCUUUAGAGCCAUUGAUUGGAGCGGCAGCUGACAGAUACCUCUACUCUGCAGAAAGUGUUUUGAUAGGAGAGCGCCGCAGUAAUGGACUUGAGUUGUUUGGAUUGCGUGGAUCUUAAAAAUAGCACUGAAAUUGUCGUACUUGCACCAAAUGCUACACUGAGAAUCCCAGCUCCCAGUCGGCCAUGGAAUCCCCACAGUGAAAAACUCAUGCCUUACAGUGGACAGUGAUGGACAGCCAAAUGUGGUAUCUGUUGACAGGUAACUUGCUUCGGAGCCAGCAGCAGGAGGUGGAGUGGGACUUUGUGAGUUGGUUUCGUUUGACGGGAGCUGUCAUCGCAUGGGCGAGAAGGCCAAGCAUUCCGGCCUCUGCUCUGACGUCAGCCCGGGCUCUGUUGGAAGAAGUACUUCCCGAGUCGGCUUUGUUCUUCUCAGUGCAAGUCCACAAAACAGGCGUCGAGGGAGACUUGGAACCUGGCCAGGAGCCACGUCAGGCGGUCACCGACAGCCACCUGAGUCCCUCUCCCCCAGCCCUUGUUUUUCAGGUGGGUUGCAAUACAAUGACUUCAUGGAAUAGCUGGAGUUUAAAGAGGACCCCCUUAGGCUGGAGUUACUGUUAGAACAGGCUCCAAGAGGAGAGGGUCUGUGAAGCCUGACAUUUUCAUGAAGCACCUGUAAUGUGUUUAUGUGCGUCCUCUUGAGGAGGGGCUAGGCCCGGCCCAAUGCUGUAAUUUUUAAAGAAUGUUGGCACCUUUUACAGGUUAAGAAUCACCGCUGGGGACCAUUCCCACUGAGGUAACGGUACUGAGUGGGCACACUGUGGAAAACACUGCAAAAAAAGAUGUUCAACGGUCUGUCGUUGACCUGGGCGACUCUGGUAUUAACCACAGGCAUGCGUGCACAGCCUGUAGAAAAGCAAGCCACGCGCAUGCGUGCACAGCCUGUAGAAAAGCAAGCCACGCGCAUGCGUGCACAGCCUGUAGAAAGCAAGCCACGCGCAUGCGUGCACAGCCUGUAGAAAAGGAAGCCACGCGCAUGCGUGCAGUCUGUAGCAAAAAGCAAGCCCCGCGCAUGCGUGCACAGCCUGUAGAAAAGCAAGCCCCGCGCAUGUGUGCACAGUCUGUAGACAAGCAAGCCACGCAGAAUUUUAAAAACACAAAGCUUUCUGGAGAUUUUUGUUUCUUUAGAGAAGAAACCCACAGCUGUCCUAAUUCCAUUCAUCAACAUCGUCCUGCUAGUCACCAGCCCAAGGCUUAUGCUGCCCUUGAUCUCAUCCUGUUAAACAGUCACCUGCUUAGGUGACAGAAGAUGGCGACAGGCUUGUCCCUCUCCGGAGCCAACGGCAAGCUUUCUGUUAUGCGGCCUGUGUUUGGUGUCCGGUGCCCGAGGAAACCUCAAACAAAUCCUCACUGGUAUCAUUGUCAGCUCACAAAACCGCGCUGACUGCACUGCGAUGCACACGGAUCACUGAUGUGGUGUCCCUUUGGUCACACGCCAUCAUUACGGAGCCCCACGGGGGAUGUCCGAAACGGACUGGGGAGGAAGCUGUCAAAAGCGAUCCAAAGGGCGGUGGAGGAAAAUGAUGGCGCUCGCGUGAUAGAAUGAGCAGCGCUCUUCAAAAUUCUCCUGUUCUAAUUAUAGAAAUGCCCCCCCUUUUUUUUGUCCCUUUGCCCGGUAUGGCUUUACGUGAUACUCCCCAGAGGGUGUGAUGGGAAAGAGGGAAUGAAGAGCAGGGUGAGCAACGGAGAGAGAAGAUGAACUGAUAUCUGAGGCCCUUACCUGUGACCCGCAGUUUCUGAAGGAAGGAAGGCAGGCAGAGAUAGCACAAGCAUGCUGGUCCUAUGUCUGCCCUCGGCUACUUAAGACACACCCGCCUUGCAGUUUUCGCUCCUGGUUGUCAGUUGGUCGUUUCACAUCCUCCCAUUCUCAAACCAGCCUCUUCCCUGCCCCUUCAGUCUUUCGCUUUUGGCAUGUAGGGAAUGGGAACCACUUUUGGGGUCUAACUCAUUUUAUCGCCGACACACCCCAUACAACAAUGCUUGACAUUGUGUGUUUGCACACAGCACCCUCCCUCUAUGAAGGAGACCAAUGCUAAACUUCUUUAUGUGAAAUCAUCUAUGAAAGAUUAGUUUUUGCUGCAGUUGCACCUGGGGAGAAUUUCUAUCCAGUCUGAGAGAGGCUUCACCCAUUCUCAGCUCUAUAAAGCCCUUAAGAUUUUUUUUUAUCUCUCCUGAAUUGUCCAAAGGUGAGAGACUCAAUCCACCAACAGUAAUUGUUUUUUUUUUCUAUGAAGACAAAUAUCCCCUUAGAUGCUAUCCUUCACAAAGCAGCGAUCCAUUUAAAGAAGCGAAAACAAACCUUGGGACCGGAGAUGCUCCAGGGUCGCUGGUGUUCACUCAUUUGUCAGAAUGACUGCAUUGCAGGCUCUAGAAGCCAAGAGUGAUCAUGAGAGACGAUGACUGAAGACACUUUCAAAUGUUACAAAAAAAAAAGAUAGUCACGUGAACUUGGUAAACUCAGGGUUUCAUUCCUUUUAAAUUGCUCAGAGGUUGAGAAAGGCCCAACAAAUCAACAGAUGUGGGGAGCUCUGAGCUGUUCCCUUAAAAUGUAGUUGCUUCAGUGUUGGGCAUGAAGCACACUUCGCCCUGUGCUAGCCAGGGAUGUCGGUAUGCUCAAUAUCAACAGCCUAAGCUUCAAAGGACAACUCACGUCAUGACACAAUAAUCCUCAGCACGUGACACGACAGGCCUCUUGCCUAAUUGCCGCACGGUGAUAAAGAUCAAAAUAUUAUUGAUCUACAGAUGACAAAAAAUGAAUACUUUAUCUCCAAGCUGAACAAAAGAUAGGUCAGUCUUCUCAACAAACUUGCCUAUACUCACACUGUCACUUCAAGGUGUGUUUCUGUACAAGACCGAUGUCCAAUUUCCCUUCAGUGGGAAAUACAGGUGCCACAAUACUCCAGAAGAAGCCACACUGAUAUACCCAACCCAGUUUGCUGGUUCCAUUCCCAGGUCUUGGUGAGGUCCUUGAAGGAAAAAGAAAAGGGGCAGCUCAUGCCCUUGGUUAUGGUGCUAGUAGAUGACGCUGCCCUUGAAGAAUGUGACACAAUCCCAUUUGAGAAUUGGUGAGAUAACCUAGCCUGCACUGGCUUUAUUUGAAAAAUCAAAAGAGAAUUUUAAUUAAAACUUCCACAAAUGUUUGCACGAUUAACUGGGUGAAUGCAAAUCUUUUCCGGAAAAAACACGAUCUCAGUUGGGUUCUCCCAUCCAUAAAAAUCCAAGAACACAAGUUCACAUUUAAACAUUCCUAAGCCGGGCAGUGGUGACACAGGCCUUUAAUCCCAGCACUUGGGAGGCAGAGGCAGGCAAAUCUCUGAGUUUGAAGCCAACCUGGUCUACAGAGCAAGUUACAGAAAAGCCAAGGAUACACAGAGAUAGUCUACCUAGAAAAAAACAAAACAAAAAACAGCAAAAGCACCCCUCCCCACCCGUACUCUCCGUUAAGUAAAGCAUCAGGGUUAAAACUCCAUAGAAACAGGUCUCAAAGCUGCACCUUGAGAGACAUCAAUCACAGGAUACGAAAUAAGCAAGUUUGGUGUUUUGUUUUGUUUUCCUUUUUGAGGCUGGGGCUAGUGUUUCUGUGGCACACCCAGAGCCGAAAAGCACAGUCUGGCACCAGCUAACUUCUGAUUGGCUCCUUGCCACGAGGAGGGCAUCUGACCUCUUAGUGACCAGGACAGGAGCCGCAAGGCCAUGCGAGCACGUGUUAGACUGUCAUGGCUGCUAAAACGGGGAGGCUGGUCACUACAUGACUGGUUGCUCCCAUAACAUCUGCGCCACUACUGCAUUCUUGGGCACGCCCUUCCACGCUGCUCAUCAUCUUAUCUCAUGGGCAGGUUAAGACUGUUGAUGACCGACUUCUCCUGUAGCACCCUCCACAGCUCUUACCGUUAAUAUGAUAGCUCUCGAGUGUGGAGAGCUGCGCCACACCGCACCUUAAAGAUGGCACCGGCUUCUGCCUUCCACCAUCCCGACGGUGAGUGCUCUCGGUAACAAACAACUCCUUAUUUGGCGUGCUUCUAUCCUGCCAGGGUCAUGCAAUGAUCAUCAGCUUGCUUACACGCGCUGUUGCACCAAUGGCUUAUGCAUACGUGGCCGUUCAGGGUUGGCUGGCCUCGGCUAUUUAGGGAGCAGGAGGGGUUUCUCCCGCGGCUGCCUUUCCACUGUUCAUCAAGGUCCUGAAUAAACUGUCUGCAAGAAGUGUUCCUGAGUCGCAUCUUCCUUGCUGGUCGAGGUGGUCGGGACAACUGGUGGCCCGUACGGGGACGCUCGUACGAAGAAGAUCCUAUGGAACUCAGAACUUGCAGCGGUCAGGGGGUACACCGGUAAGUCCCCAAGUAAGGCAGGGGCCCGCGUUAAGAGCGGGAUUUUAUUGUUCUCGCCCGUGACACUCGAGAAGGGAGAUACAUUCUAACUCGGUUCCAGCUUGGUUUCUCUGUAUCCUGUGACUGUGCGUGGUGUCUUCAGCAACAAAGUCUUGCCGUCAAUUUUUGGUAGGCGACCAGAAACAAUGGCCAUUCUGUGUAUUACUUUGGGGGGGAGGGGAGGUCUCUGUAUGCUCUCAAAGGGAGGUGUUACACACCUGGUGCUAAGAUGUUUGCCGAAAAAACUCAUGGCUUCUGGGAGAAACAUUAUCUCCCGGUGUAGGAGCAUUAUUCAGAAAUAAGUAUGAAAGCACGUGACCUAAAGGUUUGAUGUAGGAAAUCAUUUUUUUAAAUGUACUAUAAAGACUACAAUAUUUCAUUGUUAUAGGAUAUAAAUUACUUUCUAUAGGACCCCCUAAAGGAUUUUUAAGAUCUUUUCCAGGUCUGUCUACACACUCUCUUCUGCUCCAUGGAUGCAUUCUCCAUACAUUUGAAGCUGGCUUUAUUGCCUCUUGUUGAAUGUUUGUCUUCAGGUUUUAGAUGGUGAAUGGAAGGCAGCUGCUGCCCCUAGACCUGUUAGCCAGAUGUCACACCAUCUACACUGGAAAUCCAAUUCUGCUUUAAACUUGGAGAACAAAGGAGGGACAUGGCCUGAAGCCCAUGGAGACGGGCCCUUCCACCGGCUGCUUUCACACCGGAGAGACACACAUCUUAAUAAAAAUUACUAAUAGUUCAUAAAGAUUUUGGGGCUGAGGUGCAGUCAGUGUGUGAACACUCAGUUGGGUAUAUGUCCUUAGACCCAGGGAGGGAUGUCUUGUCCCGUGCCCUAGCAACAGCAUGUUCUCUUAGUUCCCAGGAGGGUAGGGACAGUUGCAAGAGCCCUAGGUAUCUAAGGACCAUGGGCAAUUAAGAGUGUGUCUGUGAAGUCAAAGUCAGGAUAUUUAGAAUAUCAGAGCUGAGAAAUAUAGAGUACACACAAGCACCACUGAAAUGCAUCAGGCAUUUGAAACAUUAAAUUAGAAAUGGUUAAUUGCUACGGGAUUAGCUCAGUGGCAAAGCACUUCACCAGCAGGUCCAAUCCUUGAUAGCAGAAAAAAAAUAUAUAUAUGGUUAGAUAACCAGUUUUAAAGGCCUUCGAACUAUCCCUAAAUCGUUAAGUGCAACAGUCAAACCCAUAACAUUUCUGCUCUGUGGACUACAUUCGGGGCCUAGGUGGAAAAGACAGUUUCUUUUGCAUCAAGGUGAUUUGUAAAAGUAAGAAUUUAAUGACAGGAACUAUUGUUGGCUUAGAACACACACACUGUGUAGGCCACAAGGAAUUUCAGGCUCUCUGCCCUCAAAUCCAAUUUGCAUGGCUGUACUCCUGUCCCUGCUACAAGCGGCUGUAUAUCCAACUUCCUUGAGAGGUCUUAAGACUCUGUGAGUCCCGGGCUUGGUUGGCUGCAGGGUCUCCCUGGCUAAAAACAUUACCAGCGGCUCCACAGAGAUGUGUUUACAGAAAAAGCACAGGGACAGUAUAAUUACUUCCUUUCAUUGCUUCUUUGGCUAUUUACGAUUCUAGGUUCGAUGAGACAGGGAAAACUUUCAGGGGCCUCUGGCACUCCUGAAUGGUAGUAGGUUGAGGGAAGGCAGAACAGCCUCCAUACUGGAUUUUGGGUCUGGAGAGGGGGACCCUAAUUAGAUCUAACGUUGGGUACAAAUAGGAUCCUAACUGGGCCAGCAAUCUUGAGCUCACAGUGUGUACACAUGCAGAACUUCUGGUAUUUCUCCAUAUGGACAUACAGUGUAGACAUCUGACAUUUUUGGUCUAUGCUGGAAUUUUCUGAGUUCACAUUCAAGGUACAGUACAGUGAUGGGAACAAAACACUUCUGGACACUGAUGAUUUUCUUCCCUUACGUCCUGUGCCAAAGUGUACGCUUGAGGCAGUUUUAUUAAAGCAAGGCAGAAGUGACUAAGUAAGAAAAGCUCAAAUUGUCUCCUCCCAAAAUGCACUUUUACAAGGACUCUUCUACUUGGUGAUUGUGCCUAGGAUACAAAUUAGCUACAAAGGAUCUUUAAAUAACCGAUGUAGUAGACAUCAGUAUCACCAAUUCUUUUAAGUGUAGCUCAAAUUUGUAGUUUAUCAACCUUUAUUGAUAUUUAGUAUGUUAUAGAUAUGCCAGAGAAAAGUUUUUUAAAAUGUUGAAUCAUUUUGCCAGUUUGUAGGACAUAAAUAAUUCUCAGCAGGAUUGUACGUACAUACAUGUAAUCCCAGGCUGAGGCAGGAAGAUCAUGAGUUCAAGGCCAGCCUGGGCGACACAGCAGGACCUGUCUCAAAGUAACCAGCAUCCUAUGCACAGGCCAGUAAUCGUUACAUUUUUCCUGUGCAUGCCUUCCUUCCUUUCCCAUCCUGUUCUUCUUCUUACAUCAUUAUAGGCUUUGUGAGACUCAUAGCUCAAACUGGCCAGUAACUCGUUAGGUAGUCCAGGCUGGCCUUGAACUCACCGUCCUCCUGCUCGGCUUCUCAGCUGCUGGGAUUACAGGCAUGGUUACUAGUCCUAGGCAUAUUUUAAUUUUCCAUUAAACACAAAGAAAAAGGGAUAUGAUCCAAUGAUCCAGCACACCAGGAAAGCACUAUCAGGGCAGUGUGUAAGCCUGAGGACCAAAGUCCAUGGCGGAAACAGAGAACUGGAUCCCAAAAGCUGUCUUCUGGCCUCUGCUCGCACGCCGUGGCACUUGCACACUCACGCACGCCAUCAAACAGCUGCACACACUAAAUACAAACAGAAAUGCGUUAUUAAUAAAAUUUAAUUUUGUGUUUUAGAAUUAUUCAUUAAAACACGUGCUUAUGCCACCUUAAGGGUGACACAGCAAUAAUAGCUACUAUAGCAGCUCAAACCAGAAAAGCUACACAAAGUUAUACACGUAUUUAUAGUAACUUAACGUGGUAGUUCAAGAAAGGUUUUACAGUCAUACAAAGUAAUCCUAAAGUUAAAAAUUUUUACAAGUGCCAAUAUUUGUAACAUUCUGGUUAUUUUUAAAACACCCAGAACAUCUACUUAAACUUCUAAUUAUUUAAGAUUCCAACCUAAAUACGUGCAAGAGAUACAUAGUUUUUCCCCCUUUUUAAUUUAGAGAACAUCAGUAAAAGUUAUGAGUGGGCCUGCAGGGAACAUGGGGAUUAGGCAUAUGCCCAGGGCUGUUAAAGUGGUGGAUUUUUUUUCUCUAACUCACCAAAAGUACAUGUCUCAGUUUCUAUAUUAAGUAUUGUAUACUACUCGGAAAAAGAAAAUGAUUCCAGCUUCGAGCCUUGCAACCCGGGCUUAGACCUCAAAUAUAUUACUUUAAAGUCUGCUAACAGUGAGUGGAAAGUUGGCUUCUCCGGGUUUUCAGUAACCCUGCUUUCAAUCAGCGGAAAGAAGUCACUUGAGUCUUGGCAGUGACCUUAAUUCCCUAGAAAUUUAAGGCUUUGGAUAGAAAAUUACUAUUGGAGAACUCAUUUGCCUCAAGAAGACAGAAGACAGGGAGAUCUCUCUAGAUUAAUGUGCUAGGCAGAAUCUAGCUCACUUGGGAGAUAGAGACAGCACGGGCAGCCAGGCAGGGCCAGAUGCUCACAUCUUCAGCAAAUAAAUCUACUGCCAGCCUUAACCCUCCUCGCACCAAUACCUUUAUAAAAGCAUCCAAAUGCUUCCGCAUCCUAAGUUACACAGGUCUAGUUGUUGGGCUUGAGUUGCUCGACUAUGAGAAUUGCUUUUAGUUUUACCUAUACAAGUAUCAACACUAAGCAUGCCAGUAGGGAGGUACUAAACUUUUAAAACGGCAGGUGGAAGUCAGUCUGUCUCAUUGGUUUUAGACUGACUGACUGAUUGACUGAGAGGCUCUGUGCGUGCAGCCUUGGCUGGCUUUGAACUUGGAGUGAUUCUCUUGCCUCUACCUCCCAGAGGCUGUAAUCAUAGGUGCGUGCUAGCAUGCCUGGCUUCUUUCCCUCUUUUCUGGACUGGAGAUGAGGCUCAGCGGAAUAGCUGUGAAGAAGGGCGCAGGAAAAGAACGAGUCUCCAGUCGUUCCCGGGGAGACCUCGCACAACGGUGUUUAAAGAACCCCGCUGCCCGGGCAGUAUCAGGAAAUGAUCUCGUGACCCUCACAGGCAAGUGCGUUUGACACCCUCUUUGUUAAAUGGAUUUGUGAGACUGUGAUUCUGAACUGAAUUCCAUUUAGGCAGUGUUAAUUCUGCCUUUAAAACAUAUUAAUCCAGGUGAAGUGCCACGAUUUAGUUGUCUAUUUAGGCGAUUCAGAACGACUUCCCGGAGGAAUAAUUUUUACUGGGUCUAUUUUGUCACCUGGGAAAGUUUCCCAGGUAUUUUGGUAUUUCACGAGUCUCUGAGGACAAUGGGUGUCACCAUUACAAUAAUAAGCAGAAAUUCAAAUAUAUGCUACUAUGACAUUAAAGUUUAUGGUUAUUCAGUGAGUUGCCAGUGAUCAAAACCAAAAUGUCUGCAUGGUCGGGUGGGGGGGGGUGUCCUCAUCUCCAGCUGUUUUUAGGCUCAGAGCUGUGGGUGUUGAUGUAUUUUAGAGUUUUAGGAAAGAAUAUUGAUUUUCUUUACUAGAUUUCCUGGAGAGUUAUGGAUUCACAAUCAAUGCCCACAUAGAAGAACCUUAAUGCGCUGGAAAUGGGUGCAUGGUUGGGGGAUUGUCCUCACCGCACCACUGUCUUCACUUAGUCAGGAGGGACUAAAUACAGCAAGGCUGUUUUGUCUAUCUUGUGCAUCACUCCAGAUUCCCCCGUUUAUCUGUGCCUUCAUUCUUUGAGUCAAGACAUCGUUAGUCAACGAUAAACAGCACACUUACUGAAAGUAAAAAUAAGUAUUUAUUGUAGAAAUUACUCACAAGAGACCAACAAGUAACCCAGAUAUCUCCAUUGGAGCUUCAUUCAAUUGCCUGGACUACUCACUGCCUGACAGCUGCUGCUGCAUCCUCCAGCCCUCCUAUUCUUCAGCGUCCCAGCAAAGCUCCUAAUUUUCGGCAAAGCACAUGCCACUUCCAGGCUAAAAGCGUGCGCUGGCCCUUAUUCGGCACCUGCAAUGGGAUCAGCUUACCAGGACACAUGUGUGCCGACCACCUGUGCGCGGUGCUCGCGGAAGUCGGAAGAGGGCAUCAGGCCCACUCAGAGUUAGAUGGCGUCGAGCUGCCGUGUGGAUGACGUGGACCAAACCGGGGUCCUCUCUCUCUAAGAGCAGCAAGAGCUCUUAAUCACUGAAACGCGUCUCUAGCCCCUCGCCGUUUUCUUGCCAUUCACGAUACUCUUUUGUGCUGUGGGUCCAUCACUGGUAAGGUCAAGAUGUUUUUAACCUUUAGGUUAUGUGUUCUUGCUCCACGUUUUAGGACUUCUUUCUUCAGUCCAUAUGCCCAUAGCCCAGUCUGGUGUCGGUUAGACUAAAGGUAAAUUACCGGGGCUUCUGUUUAUCCGUAUACCCCUCUGACACCUUUGGAGCGCAUAGAACACAAGCUCAUGACAGACAAUGGUUCCAUUCUGAGUUACAGACGUUCACUGUAAAGCCAGAGUUUAUCAAUGUGCUAAGAAACCGCUGGUUUUUUUUUUUUUUUUUGCGAUGGUGGUCUUUGUAUCCGUUUAGGACAGCUUACGUGUGACUCUCCUUAUUGACCUGCAUUCACAGGAGAAACAAAGGGAGUAGAAACAGUUGAGCGGGGGUGGAGGGAGGUGGGGGUGGGGGGAAGAGCGUGCCUCGCCUGGUGACAGGGAUUGUUGCCCAAGAUGUUCUAUGCCUUUGCUCACUUUACUUAUGUCACAGGUAUUCAUCAUUCAGCAUGCAAACAAAGUUCAGAACCAGGAGAUCUGGGGCAGUGGUCCCCACCGCGUUGUACAAGGUGAUACCAAGGGAGGGGAACACCUGUUGAUGUUUCUCAUUUUAACAGAUGCACAUUUAUGUUAGCAUUCACCAGAAACAAUAUAAUUGGCAAAGGA